CGGCAGGGAAGCGGCAGGUAAAGAUGAAUCAGUGAUUCAGGGCUGCAGGCCAGGCACCAGGCCAGGCUGUAAAAGUUAUUGUGCAGCAUCACAAUGGAAGGCGGGGGACACAAAUAGCAUCCCAGGGAAACCAGUGGCCCUGACUUGGAAAGCAAACCUCUCUGCAGCCACGGGACCCCCAACAGCAGCCUCACAGAGCCUGCCCGGCCACCCUAGUCUGGGCUAACUGUCCUGCCUUCUCCUCCAAGAUUCCCUUGCCUGGGUCCCUCCUCACCGCACUCCUCUGGGGACCCUGUGCUUGGACUCCACCCUUUCCUGUCCAGACCACUGUGAAGGCCUUUAGUCACCUCCUAGAGAAGCAAGAUUCUCAGCCCUGGCUUUCCACCCCCACACCCUACAGCUGGCCAGGGGACAGGGUCGUGUUCACACAGUGCUAAGGGGACACGCUGACGUGUGUGACAUCAAGAACUCCAGUGCCCACACAGCCCGAGUCCAGAUGGUACAAAUUUCUUUUAAUUUUGAAUAACAAAAAGGGAAAUAUCAAGCAUUUGAUCUACUUGUUCACCAAAAAAUUAGCCACGGAUUCACAAAAGGCCCUCCAAGGCCCACACAUCAACUCAUAUCGAUCAUCACACACAGUAUAGGGCCCACAGGGCAGUGGACAUGAAGAAGCUACCCAGGCACUCAGGAUUAGCGUCCAGGUGAGGUCUGCAGCCUUAGGGGGCCCUGGCCAGCUUGCUCCCCUUUCCUGCACCAGGCCAGCUGCCCCGGAAAGUUGGACUGGAACCAAGCCACUGAGCCACCGUGAAGCUGCGGCCACUUUCAAACCUCUGGCAGAAGCAGUAAGUACAAAUUGUGCUGCAGGUGGUGCUUUCAGAAUAGAGCCAACAGCCAUCUUUUGCUCCAUUCCCCCUUUUCCCACAUCCCUGGCACAGAAGCCUUCCCGUGGUAUUUCCUGCAAGAGAAGCCACAGCUUUCCCCUGCCACCUUUUCUUUCCCAGGGUGGAUCUAGCACUGGGAGUUGGAGCAGGGCGUGGCAGCCCAGUCCCGUCCUGUGUCUCAGUGGGAAGGGAGUUCCAUGCCCUUCUUUGCUCCAUUACAUGUAUGAGGCUCUGUGGUCACCUUUGGACUUUGCUCCCACUAUACUGGAAAAAUGGGGGCAGAUUCUCUGUUCUUCUCUGCAUACCUGCACCGAGGGUGUCAUUGGCACAUGGUGGGGACUCAAGAAUCCUCCACGAUCAUCAUCCUCAUCACCCUCAUCCUCCUUAUCAAAAUUAUCAUCAUCUCCAUCAUCCUCGUCCUCCUCCUCAUCAUCAUUCUUAUCAUCUUCAACAACAUCAGCAGCACCAGCACCACCACCACCAUCACCAUCAUCUUGUUCGACAGCAUCAACAGUAGCAGCAGCACCACCACCAUGACCAUGAUCACCACCAUCACCUCACCCCCAUCAUCCUGAGCUAGCACUUACAUGGAGCUCACUCUGUGCCAUACGUUGUUCUAAGUGCCUUAUAUGUAGUAACGCAUUUUAAUGCUCUCAACAACCCUAUGAAGUAGAUAUCCUACGCCCAUUUUUACUGAUGAGAAGACUGAGGCACACAGAAGUUAACCUAACUUGUCCAAGGAGGGCUCAUCAAUGUAUGGAGAAAUGAAAGAGUGCCGCAUUUCACAUUGGAGGGAUCUGGGUUUGAGUCCUUGGGCCAGCCUUGCUACAGUGGGGGAAAGAACACCAAUCACACUGGCUUAUUACGGAAUUCAAAUGUGGCAGACAAUGUUCCUGCAGACCCUGUCUUCAGCACUGGCAUUGGGCAAUUAAUUAAAUUGCCAUUGUCCUCCACAAAGUGAUGACUACUGGUUAAGAACAGCCCUUUUUCUCCACUGCUCACUUGGCAGUCCUGUUUCUGCCUGGCCACAGCCUCGAGUCUCUGCUCCAUGGCGCAAGGCAGACACACGCAGACAGGCUUUGUCGGUUUGCUGAUGUGUGUUGUUUGGAAAAUGAGAACACAAGGAAAGCUGUCCUUAGGAGGAAGAGGCAAGGAGAGGCAUUGGGAGGCCAAGAGAUCAAAGCGAGGUGUCAGAAACAAAGACAGUGAAGGAGUUCAGUCCCCUUUUAAUGCCGCCUGCCAGUUCAGACGGCCACUGCCCUUGCCUUCUAGGGAAUUCUGCUGGUUAAGGGGCUCAGACAAGCCCCAGAAUGCCCCGAUGAGGACGCAACAGGAAGACAAUCCAUAGACAGAGAAAGUGCUUUGUUUUACGGUUUCCUGGGCACUGACACCAGCAGCCUUUUCUGCCAGCGGUUUGAAAUACGAGACACUGGUGUUUUUUCCUGGCUCCCUGAAUUUAAAUUACAUCACCAAAGAAGAAACUUCCCGAAGGAAAUGAAUCUCUGCAGAUAACGAUCCCUCACAAUGGAUUCAAAUUGUAAUAAAAAUAUAACUUGAAUGUUAAAGGUGAAUUUCAAUUAAGGAUUCCAUCACAUAUUUUGCUCCAGACCACAAUAAAAAAACUUAUUU